CUCUUGAGCUCUUGUGGUGACCUGGGAAUCAAUGUGUGAGGUGGUGCUAUGUAGCAGGAACCCCUCUUGCUUUGCAAAUAGUUUUUUGUUUGUUUUCCUUUUUGCCCAAUAGAGCCCUGCUCUACUGACCCUUCAAUGUGCCCGUGUGCCUAAAUAUUCCUGGUCGUGUGAAAAGAACCCAGGUAUUAGCUGAACUAAGGAGCACAAUUCUGCAACAUUUUGGCACCCAAACACGGGGCUUGAGAAAUGAAUGCAAUUGGAGAAACUGGUUGUUUUACCAGGCGUUGAUUGGAAAUGUGUGCUUCCCUUUAAGCAGUCAAGCUCAACUUGCAGAACUGAUGGGAACCCCUUGGGAAAACUGGCCUCAAAUGUUUGUCUACACAGUCCACAUACAGGGUUCUUAACCUGCGACUGACCCUGCUUGUGCCUGUGAACCAACCAACAAUCUCUGGCUGCAGCUCAGAAAGGACAAAAGAGAAUGGAUGAGGGAAACUUCCCAGGGCUUGUCUGGGUAUGCCCACAGUGGACUGGAGCCCAAAAUGCACACUGGAGGAAGUGGAUGGAGCCACGUGGAUGUCAUGCCUUAUGCAGGGGAGGAGCCUGCUCUCUUCAGCUCCUGUGGUAAUGUGGGAAUCGAUCUGUGAGAUUGAAACUCCCACAACUUUGGCAGACCAACUCCUCAGAAAACAUUAUUCUUUGACAUCAAUAUGUUUUGCACAAAAUUGAAUGGCAAGUGAAAGGCAUCAAAUGCAUAUUUAACUAUCCGGCUAUUUUGGAGAUUGAAAAAAGAAGACCUGAUUUAUCAUGUGCAAUAUCUCACACAUCUGUCAUUUCUAUUCUACCGCAAUUCGAUGGAGUCUUGUUCUGUGGUCCAGGCUAGAGGGCAGUGGCAUGAUCUCGGCUCACUACAAGCUCUGCCUCCCGGGUUCACGCCAUUCUCCUGCCUCAGCCUCCUGAGUAGCUGGGACUACAGGCGCCCGCCACCACGCCUGGCUAAUUUUUUGUAUAUUUACUAGAGAUGGCUAGUGUUAGCCAAGAUGGUCUCGAUCUCCUGACCUCGUGAUCUGCCCACCUCAGCCUGCCAAAGUGCUGGGAUUACUGGCGUGAGCCACCGUGCCUGGCCAGCAUCCUCUAAUUAUUAUUCAUAGUUUGUGAAUUUAGGCCUACGUGAAUAAUAAUAUAAUAUUUACUAUGAUGUUACUAUCUACCAACCUUAUUUUUCUUUUCUAUAAAAUAGGAGCCAAAAUAAUAUUUAUGUCAUACCUUAUGAAGUUAAAAUAAAAUAUAACGAAUGAGGGGCUU
rnacentral:lncRNA from 1 species